GGGGGUGACAUGGCUUCGACGCCGGUUAUGAAUCCCGAAGGGGCAUGCGGAGAGGGUGACAUCUCUCGUUAAUCAAAGUCACAAGCAACAUAGUCGCAAACGACGAAAACUACGCACUGGCAGCUUAAUACCCUGCCUACGACUGAAGCUGCCUGCCCAUGGGCGGUGGACGUCGGCGCAAAAAACAUGGGAUCGCCUGAUGUCGCGCCUCGCGACUGACGGUUAAACCUCAGAGGCUCGUCUUCAUCGCCCUGUCGAUCGGGUAGAUGCGGAUUAAAUCAAUAGACCGACUAAGCAUGUAGAACCGAGGGUGGAAUGCUGACGGACGCGGGUUCGAUCCCCGCCACCUCCACCA
rnacentral:tmRNA from 1 species